CUGCCAUAUGAGUUCUGUUAUACUCACAGACACCAUUCAAACAGUUUUAGAAACUUUAGGGUGUUUUCUAUCCAAAGCCAAUAAUUAUAUGCAUAUUCUAGUUACUGGGCAGGAGUAGUAACCAGAUUAAAUCGGGUACGUUUUUUAUCCGGCCGUGUCAAUACUGCCCCCUAGCCCUAACAGGUUAUACUGGUCAGGACGUGACAAUACAACACUGAAAUGCUUACUUAUAAGCCCAUAACUAACAACACAGUUUUAAGAAAAAUAAGAGUUAAGAGAGUAUUUAAUAAAAUAAACUGAAGGGAAAAAAAUAAUUGGAUAAGUACUGUAGCCUAUGCCAUUUUAUCCUUUUUCUUUUACAGAUUGUGUAUUCAUUGCGUUUCUAACAUGCUGACCACACCACUCGCAUUACGUGCGUGAGCGUUGCAAAAUAAUUGUAUGCAUACAUGUUAUUCAAUCAUUGCAUCCAAAAUGCUCACACGUGUCAAUGGGCUUCUGCGUAGCCAGGCCCUAAAUAUAGAACUUGAUUAUAUUUGUGACGCUUGAUGCUCUGCAAGUCCCACCUCUCGCAUCUCCUCAUUGGUUAUUAGGAGAAUAUACCCACGUCGGUGAUUGAAAGAUGAACUGAGGUCCACACUCCAGUCCAGGCCAGUUGGUGGUGGUAAUGCACCUUAAAGUUGGUUUCCAACCGCCAUAUUAAGUCCAAAGAAGAAGAAGACUGAAGGAGGAGAGAUUACUAGAAAACUAACUUUGUUUACCCUUUUAUCUGUGGGUUAAUUCUCAGAGUAGAGAACCUUGUGCAUUUCAGGUAAAAUAACAACCCAAUGUUUAUAUCCCAGGACAAAUUAGCUAGCAACAGCAACCUAGCUAGCUAAAUGUCCAUGAAUGUUUAAUACUUUUCGAACUGUCCCCAAAUUAAUAUAGUUGGUUCAAAGUUCGUUUUGAUAUUUCAAACUGCGUGUCGUGAUGGCGUCUGGUGUGGAUGGACAAAAUCAACGUGUGCGAUGGCACACUCGGACGUAUGCGUGUGCCCGGUCUAGUCAGCAUGUAUGAAGUCAUUAAAAGGGAGUCAAUAUAAAAAGUAACUGCAUAAAGAGCAGUUGAUACUGUGUACAGUCGUGGCCAAAAGUUUUGAGAAUGACACAAAUAUUAAUUUCCACAAAGUUUACUGCUUCAGUGUCUUUAGAUAUUUUUGACAGAUGUUACUAUGGAAUGCUGAAGCAUAAUUACAAGCAUUUCAUAAGUGUCAAAGGCUUUUAUUGACAAUUACAUGAAGUUGAUGCAAAGAGUCAAUAUUUGCAGUGUUGACCCUUCUUUUUCAAGACUUCUACAAUCCGCCCUGGCAUAUUGUCAAUUAACUUCUGGGCCACAUCCUGACUGAUGGCAGCCCAUUCUUUCAUAAUCAAUGCUUGGAGUUUGUCAGAAUUUGUGGGUUUUUGUUUGCCCACCUGCCUCUUGAGGCUGGACCACAAGUUUUCAAUGGGAUUAAGGUCUGGGGAGUUUCCUGUCCAUGGAUCCAAAAUAGCGAUGUUUUGUUCCCCGAGCCACUUAGUUAUCACUUUUGCCUUAUGGCAAGGUGCCCCAUCAGACUGGAAAAGGCAUUGUUCGUUACCAAACUGUUCCUGGAUGGUUGGGAGAAGUUGCUCUCGGAGGAUGUGUUGGUACCAUUCUUUAUUCAUGGCUGUGUUCUUAGGCAAAAUUGUGAGUGAGCCCACUCCCUUGGCUGAGAAGCAUCCCCACACAUGAAUGGUCUCAGGAUGCUUAACUGUUGGCAUGACACAGGACUGAUGGUAGUGCUCACCUUGUCUUCUCCGGACAAGCUUUUUUCCGGAUGCCCCAAACAAUCGGAAAGGGGAUUCAUCAGAGAAAAUGACUUUACCCCAGUCCUCAGCAGUCCAAUCCCUGUACCUUUUGCAGAAUAUCAGUCUGUCCCUGAUGUUUUUCCUGGAGAGAAGGGGCUUCUUUGCUGCCCUUCUUGACACCAGGCCAUCCUCCAAAAGUCUUCAUCUCACUGUGCGUGCAGAUGCACUCACACCUGCCUGCUGCCAUUUCUGAGCAAGCUCUGUACUGGUGGUGCCCCGAUCCCGCAGCUGAAUCAGCUUUAGGAGACGGUCUUGGCGCUUGCUGAACUUUCUUGGGUGCUCUGAAGUCUUCUUCACAACAAUUGUACCGCUCUCCUUUAAGUUCUUGAUGAUCCGAUAAAUGGCUGAUUUAGGUGCAAUCUUACUGGCAGCAGGAUCCUUGCCUGUCAAGCUCUUUUUGUGCAAAGCAAUGAUGACGGCACGUGUUUCCUUGCAGGUAACCAUAAUUGAUAGACGAAGAACAAUGAUUCCAAGCACCACCCACCUUUUGAAGCUUCCAGUCUGUUAUUCGAACUCAAUCAGCAUGACAGAGUGAUCUCCAGCCUUGUCCUCGUCAACACUCACACCUGUGUUAACAAAAGAAUCACUGACAUGAUGUCAGCUGGUCCUUUUGUGGCAGGGCUGAAAUGCAGUGGAAAUGUUUUUGGGGGAUUCAGUUCAUUUGCAUGGCAAGAGGGACUUUGCAAUUAAUUGUCUCAAGUCUCAAAAAUUUUGGCCACGACUGUACAAUCUAUUUUACUCACUUCAUCUGGACUACUGAUAGAUUUCAAACUUGUUGCCAGGGAUGUAUUGCCAUCUUUAAUUUAAGUUGAUGAUGUAUAUGUGACCGACUGGGGUUUGAAUCCGGGUUUCCUACACACCACAAGACUGUGUUAGCCCGCUGAGAUAAAGCAGUUAGCUUAAGUAGCCAACACAAGUCUCCAAGUUUCAGACAAGGUUACUCAUCGUGUGUGCGUUGUUCCAAAACACAUUUUACAUUUUAGUCAUUUACCAGACGCUCAAGAGCAAUUAGGGUUAAGUGCCUUACUCAAGGGCACAUUGACUGCUUUUUCACCUAGUCGGCUUGGGGAUUCGAUUCCAGUGACCUUUUGGUUACUGGCCCAACGCCCUUAACUGCUAGGCUACCUGCCGCCCUGUUAUAUCUAGUCAUGUUUAAGUUGUUGAUGCAUUCUUAUAUUUAAGUUCUUGCCAUAUUACCAUUGUUAUAUCUAGCCAUGUUUAAGUUGUUGAUGUAUUGUCAUAUUUAUGUUCUUGCCAUAUUGCCAUUUUGAAGGAAUAGUUUCCUGAGCACACAGCGGAGCAGCACUGUCUCUGUCUUUUCAGACCCGUAGACAGGACACACCAGAAGGAUAAUAUGUCUACAUUAUUGUCUUUUCCACAGUAGAACGACGUGUUUAGUUUCUUAAUUGCCGUGUUUAAAACAAACAUGAAAUUGCCACCAUGCCAAUGCAGUCCUACAAUAUACAGUACGCCCUAAGUGGUGCGUUCAGCAAGCCCAUUAUUUACUCACAGAUAGAUCACAAUAAUCCAAUAUCUCUAUCCAAAUGUGCCUAUAGUAUCGAAACUCUUGCAUAUCCAGAUUAGAUUUCACUUAUUUUAUUUUGUUAGCAACAGUUCCCUUCCCAUAUUUUAUUAUUGAACAUAUGAUUCCUAAUGCCUAGAAUGAUAACUGUUUCAUAUGUACAGUAUAGCCAACUGAACAAAAAAAAGAUUUACUAAGUAUUAUCAUUGCAUCUGCAACAACAGACUUAGUGUAUGUUCCUUAGAGUUUGCUAUUACACUUUCGUAUUGAAUGAGAACAAUGCACGCAUCAAAUCUAUUUUACAAAUGUAGUGACAGUAUACUGCAUGUAUGACAAAAAAGUCAGCACUUGUUUACAAUUUAAUCAGAUGUAGGAUCUUAAUUUGAGCCAGUUUGCUACUGCAAGAAAAUAAUCAUGCAGCAACAGGAAAUGUGAAUUAAUAUGUGGAUUAUAAUAUAUUUCUAGGGGAUGAUACAUUUUUCAUCAAGUCUGAAAUUUCAAAGUGGAAAUUACUGACUUCAGAAGCCUUUUUAAACCUCAAACGUUCUCCUGCAACAGGGCGAUCAAAUUAAGAUCCCACCUGUAUAUUUACAUUGCCUCAAGGUAUGAGAAAAUACUCAUACUAAAGAAAGGAUGUUAUCUUUAUGAAAAGUUUGUUUUGAAUCUGUUCACUUAUAGUGAAGGUUGUUUAUAUUCCCCCCAUGUACAUAGACACUGUGAUUAGAAAAUACAUGUCUAAUAGUAGUUAAUUAAUGAAAGUGAGCGUUUACUGUUAUUUUUUAUACAAUUUUGUUAAAAUAUUUUUGUGUAGGGUUAGCAAAGCAAUUGAGAGAGAUUAUGCGUUUCAAAAUAACUUUUAAAGCUGUCUCCACUGGAGUCUGAACUUUUAACAUAAGCCCCACAUGAAGACGACCUGGUAUCCAAAAGAUGUUCCGUUUGAAAUGAACCUCUUAGAUAAUGUGCAUGUUUGUGCCAAAAUGGCAACAUGUUUGGUGGUCCCUGCUCCUCAACUUACCUUACUCAUGGCCUGUGAUAGGCAGGAACUCCCUGAGUGAGCCAUUUGUUGUGUAUAAUGAUGAUGAUGAUGGUGAGGAUGAUACUGUAUCUACAGUAGAAACAGCAGUCACGUAGCAUGUUGCAUUCAUGUUUUUCCCUCAUAUUUUGUUCCUUAGAUCGGUCAUGUGUUUGCUUCUCCUGGUCACUAUUUAUACCUUGACCUAGGGUGUUUACAGCAUAGAAAUAGAAUGACAUUCUCAUUCUAUGUCAUUGUAUAUCUAUUCUUUACAGUGCGUACCUCCUCUUGGUCUCUGGUUUGCAUGCUGAUGAUAAAGAAUACUUUUCCAAACCAGACAUUGGACAUAAUUAUUGUCAUUUCUGUGGUUUGUGAAAUGCUUUGUAAUGGAUUGCCUUAAUAAAGUGACUGAAGAUUAAUGAAA
rnacentral:lncRNA from 1 species